UACAUGAGAAUACGGUUUCUGUUGCGGCGGAGGACACAUCGCAGAAGCAGAAUACAAACCCUUGAAAUCCCCAGAGGGCACAGGCGACCGCCCGCGCGUCUUCGCCGACCACCGUUAGGCGUUAGCCCCGCCGCCGCUCCUUCUCUACUCUACUCCUCGUCCUCUCCAUCCCCCUCGCAUCCGCAUAUUCCGGUCGCCUCAUCUGGCGGGUCCUGCAGUGCGCGCGGUCUCUACGCCGCCGGCGCCAUCGCCUGCUUCCGCCUACCGAGCGCCUCCGCUAGCAGCGCCACGAGGCAGCACGUCAGCGGUAGGCGUCUCGUCGUGCAUCCUCGGCUCCUCGCAAAGAUUUCCGAAAAUCCAGUACCAUGGUCAGAGGGACACAGGAUCCGAAGGAAAUCAAUUUGGAUUCCCCACGCCCCACGGGCCACGGGCAGUUCUUCAGCACGGAUCUUAAAGCAUUUUCGCCCUCCCGGGUACAGGCCUUCCCAGAACGUUCCUGGGCGGUAAAGUAAUCUUUGUUGAUGUUGCAAAGCGAAGGUCUGGAGUCUGGGCUCCAAAUUCACUGCCAAAUCAGAUAGCGAAUUCGUGUGGGUACAACGCAUAUGAGAGAAUCCGUCAGGUUUAAAUGUUCACCCGUAUUGUUGCUAAUACAAAGAAGGGUUUGACAACCAGUUUCCAUCUAAUUCCAUGCAUCUAGUACAUCACAGCAUCUUGGUACAAGUAGAAGUUACUCUUGGCAUGCUUAGCAUUUUGCAUGUAAAGGAUGGGUUUCACCUGUUUGGCAUGAGUUUCUAAAGUUGAUCCAUCAAAAACAUAUAGUAGUACAACUGAAUAAGGCCUUGCAGCAUUUCUGCUAUAUUUGUCAUUGUUUUACAGAUAAGAACUGUAUAUUUUACAUCAGUGCAAUCCUACUACAAUUGUCCCAAAAUAUAG